GCUGCUGGCAUUUCUGGUGCUAUUCCCUUUUCCCAUUCUCAGCAUGCACGGAGCCAUUCCCAGCCAGUUGGAGCUCUUCCACAAGAUGGUGCUGAGCCCCAUCGCUCACAAGUGGUGCGUAAUUGAAACACAGCACACAUCCUCCCGGGGAAGGAAGAGGUAAGCCAAGAAAAUAGGCCAUGAUAGUCAGAUAUGUUUAAUAUACAAAUAAGAAGUUGUUUCAUAAAUAUCUUAUAAAAACUUCAAUUUACUUCCCAAUAUUUUAGCAGAUUAUCUCAACACAAACAGCAGAUGUAUUUUGGAGCGACGAGACAAAUGUUUAGUGAAAUUAAAGUUAUUCAUGUGCAGUCACACAGGGAAUAUUUGCAUGAUAUUUUACUAAUUGCUCCAAAAUCUGACUUGUAGCAAAUAAACAAACAGAGGGAAAAAAAUAAGCCAGUGGAAAGAUUAGCCCCAGGCUUCUCUGCUUCUAUUCUAUGUCCUCGCAGCCUUUCUUCAACUGCUCAACUUUCUUUCUCUGGAAGCACAGCAUUAUUUCCCAGGGCCCAAACACUCUUCUCAGGCUCUCCUGGUUUUCCCCUGCUAACUAUAUCUCUUCCCAACUGGUUCUAUUUUCAUCUUCCCUUUGAGCCCAAAUUUCCAGUCCAGUUUCUGAGUGAAAGGCAUCCACUGCUGGGCUGGCGUGAGGGAGAAUUUUCUUAAGUGUUGCAAGGAAAACAGUUUGCUAUUUCAGCUAACGCAUUCGUGUAGGAUUAGCAAUGCAGAAAAACCCAAUGCCAAAGCAGUGGAGCGCUUGUUGCAGCCAGGAGUUCAGACUGGAGUUCCUUCAACCUUCUGUGAAGAGUUUCAAGUUACAGCAGCAAAAAUCAAGUUGUCAUUGCUGAUUGUUAUGACAUUAUUUUAUGUCAGGUCUGUUUAUUUGCCCUCCUGGAAAAAGAGAAUGUAUUUCAAGACGUCAAAAUAUUUUGUUUGCCUUCAUUCAAUUGCAAGAGAAGCCUUAGUGGCUAAACUUUGUUAUUUUGGUUGCAAGAAGACAGCAAGAUGGAAGCUUCAUUUAUUGUAAAAAAUAAAAUUAAGAUUUGAACAUGGAAAAAAUGUGCAGAUCUUGUACUCGGCAGCUCACUUCUGCCUUUGGAGACAAGUACUAAUCCCAUUGAUUUUCAUAUGCUUGAAGACAGCUCAGCAAUAUCAAAAUUGCAUUAUAUUACAUAUUUAGAUAGGUAGCAGAAAUGCUGAGUCAUGGCCUGAAGCAGUGAUUGAGCACCUGGUGGGAAGGCAGGGCCAACCCAGGGAAGCUCAGGUGUAUGCAAUGUACCUGAAUGACCAGAAGGUUUGGAGCCAGAAUUCACCUCUUCCCAGACCUCAUUUAAGGGUUGGCAGUGGAGGUAAGGGGGUUUUGUUGGUGAUCCCUGUAUACUUGAGGUCUUCUGAAGGUAAGCAGAUUCUUUCCUUUGUUUCUGUAUCCACUGCUGUUGUAUUUGAGCAUAUCCUUACUUGCUGCACCCUAAGACUUCACUACUAUGCUGUCACUGUCCUUGCUUCACUUUCCAUUGCAUUUCAGCAUUGCAACAUAUGUUGUGUUUCUAACUAGUUUUGCUGCUGAAGGUUAUGAGUUUUUCUUCACUCUUUGUAUUAAAAUAUAGCAAGUAGUAGAAACUGAGGGAUACGAUGAGUAAUCAUAAG
ensembl:lncRNA